AUACAUCUGUCAAAUAAGAAAAAGUAAAAGUGACAUAGAGAGAUUCUUUUCCACCUCGAUCUUCGUUCUUGGUUCUGGACCAAAGUGAAUCCAACAUAUAAAAAAAGUGAUUUAUAAAUAAAGUCAAACAUUGAUACUUUGAUUGGAAGUGAUAGUUACAAAAGCACUCUCCAAAAGGCUGGUGGGAAUCUACUGAGUGAACAACCCAUACACCUAAUUUACCCUCACUUACCUCAAAAUUUAGACCAUACCAAACACUACUAUUAAUACAGUACAUUUGCAUGUGAGAAAAUAAAAGAAAGAUACAUCGGUUACUUGUAGACUUCAAACACAAACUACUUAAAAGGUGGAUUUAAUUAACUAACACGUUAAUCAAGUUUCACUAAAACAAAGUUAGCAAAAAAAGUUUCUAUCAACCCUUCCCUUCUUCCCCGCGUUGUGUGUCACGUUCCCCACCUCUCCAUUAUCUCUUCCUCUUUUUCAUUUUUUUUGUGUGUUUCUUCUCUCAGAAAAAGACAAGACAAUGCCUGUUUCUUCAGAGCCUUCGUCUUCUUCAACAACAAUCGGUCAACACAUCAGACUCCGACCAAGAAAUCUCCCACUACUUCCCACCGCCGAUGAGCCUCUAGUUCCAAAACCUAGCCGUGUCUCUAAAUCGGCCAUGUCUUCCUUCUUCCUCUUACCAUCUAACGAAACCACAAGGAAGACAACGUCGUCGUUUCGCAGGCUUGGCUGCACUUCCUCCGCGUCUCAGCAGGUCUCCGUCCCGGCGGUGAUUCGCUCCUCCGCGGAUUGGGGUGCGACUAAGACCAAGAGCAAGAACAAGAACAAGGGUACUGGUCGCGAGAGUGGCGGUUCGGUUAAGAUCUUGACCGAGGCAGGAGAUGGAGGAAACGCUUGUGGAGCGGUUCCUGACGUUUGGUGCGGAUUAAGCUGCUGUUUCCGUGGUUGUUGCCAGACUCUUGUCGGAGCUCCUUGACGACAGCAGCUAAAGCCUCAGGGUUAAGACCAAGAUCGCAAAGAGCAAUCAAAACGGACAAGGUAUGUCGAUCGAGACCAGUCUCCAAGAUGUUGGACAUUCGAAACGCAAGCUCCAGCGAGUCCCUCGCAGUUUCAGCUGCCUCCUUAUCCAUUUACUCUCUGACCCCAGAGAAUAAAAAAAUCAAAUCUUUUAUUUCAAAAACUGAGGAAAAGAUUCAAUUUUUAAUAAUAGUUGCAAUGUAGAGUGGUAACCCCCAAAAAGACUUAAGGAAACAAGCGAAACAGAGAGAUGAACAAACCAGAUUAUGCGACGGAGAUAGAUAACCAACGGCGUCGAAUCUGAGAUCUCAGAGCUUUUGAAAGUUGUUGUGAGAAAAGGAGUAAAGGCGAAGUUGGGACACGAAAUAGAUUUCUAGCCAAACCAAAAUUGGUUACCAUCUGACCGGUUCAAAUUAGAAUCUUAACCGGCAUCCCUAUUAAUUAAUGUUGAAUGUUUUUUCUGGAACAUUAUUUUUUUUUGGAAAACUAAUGUUGAAUAUAAUUUAUUCUAUCACAAAUUACAAAAAAAAAAAAAAUUGGUCUAAAUGUUAAAACAAAUUACAAAAUAUUACUUCUACAAUCUACAAAUUUAUUUGUUUCUAUUUUCACCAUACUGAGUUGUUUUAUGAAGAUUCAUACCCUUUUUUUUUUAUGAAGAUUCAUACUUAAAGGUUCUAUUUUGCAUCAUACUAAAAAAUUCUUUUUUUGUUUUGUUUUCAUACUAAAAAUUUCAUAGAAGUUUUUCACUCUGCAUAAUUGAUAUUUUUGGAUUCCAAAUCCAAAAAAUUAGCGUAGAAACAUUAAUGAAAGUUUAGGAAAAUCACUAAACCAAAGAGAUUUCCCCAAAACGUUGAAUUAACAUAGUCAAUGGAGUAUCCAUAAUUUACCUAACGACUAUUAAUUACAUCUGAGAUUUAUGGCAUAGAAUUAAGGAAAGUCGCACUCGUGGGAUUACAUUGAGCAGGCCUAGGCAUAAAAUCCGGAACUCGAAAUUCGAACCGAACCCGAACCGAAAAACUCGACCCAUUAUCCGAUCUGAAAUAUAAAAAUACCCGAACGGAUCUUGUAGGGUGGUACAAAAAAUAUCCGAACCCGAAGUGUUAUUAACCGAACCCGAACGGGUAACCCGGAAAUCCGAAAUUAAUAGUUAAUAUAAAUAUUUUGAAAUAUAUAUAAGUAUUUCAAUUAUUAAAUUCAAAAUUUCUGGUAAUAUGAUAUAUAAUAAUAAAUAUUAAAAUUUUAAUAAAUAAUUUAAGUACACAAUUAGUUAUAAAUAAUUCUUUUAUAAUUUGCUCAUUGAAAUAAGAAAGUCUACUCUCUAUAAUGCAAUACAUAUUGUUUACAAAUAAUGUUUGUUUUCAUGCUUGAUUUAACAUUUUAUUGUUAUUUUAUCAAUUUUAUGUGUGAUAGAUUAAUUUUUAUUUAAUUUAGAUGUUUUUCUUUAUGUUUUGCUUCAAAUUUUUUUUUACUUCGGUUAUAUCCGAACCGAACCGAUAUAACCCGAAUCCGUACGAGAUAUGAUUACUUUAUGGGUUUUAAGACGCAAUACAAUUUUGAACCGAACCCAGACUGUUAUUAUCCUAACCCGACCCGUAUUAAUAAAAUUUUAGUAUGAGACCUAAGAGCGUAAACCCGAAAACCCGAAAAACCCGACCCGAACGUCAUGGAAAGUCGUUUAGCAAACACUUGCAGAAGAAACAUAAACCAAAGCUAAAAGUAGGAAACUCGAAGAAGAACAAGAUGUGUUUAACUUAAUUCACAAACGACAGUGACAAGCAAAUCAAUUUAAAGCAAGAAGAACAAGGUUUAAGAGGGGAAAACGAGAGAAGGGAGACUAGCACUUGGGUUUACAGUGACAAUGACUGGCGACCAUUUUCGCAUUUGGUGAGUUAAGGAAAGAUUUGAACUCUGGGUUCUUCAUGUACUGGCAGAUACAGUGUUGUUGCUGGUUCAACCUGGUGCAACACUCAUUGGAGGGCGUAGAGCCUUUCAUUAUGGCGUCCUCGCAUGGCAUAAGCUGCAUGGGAUUACAUUGCUCUGCCGCGGCGACUCUGUUUUCUUGCGCAACAAUGAGCAAGAGAAGGAGUGUACAAGUGAUCAAGACCAGUUUUGUACAAGAGGCCUUCAUUGUCUCUCUAAGUUGUGAGUUUUAUGAGAGAAGAUGAUUUUCUGGUGUGGAGUUUGAAGUGUGUUUCUCUUCUUCUAUAUAUAUAGAAGGAGAUAGCUUUGUGUGAGUCACGUUACUCAAAUGAGAGCUCGUGAUUACAUAAGAUCUCGAUUUGUACAAUACCAACUCUUUCUAAGCUCAAAGAGGUUAUUAACUUUAUAAAAAUGCUUAGACAAAGCAUAUAAAGACUAAAUGCCAUUUGGGAAAUGUUAAUGAAAACAUGUGCAUCCAACAUGGAAGUCAGCUUUCGGCUAUAACCCCGUGAAGGUUAUAAAAAGCUAGUUGGACUAUUAAACAAAUCAAAAAGCACCUUCAAAAUUAUAUAUCAAUUCAUUAGAGUAGUGUAACAUAAGGUAUUACUGAGGAAGUAUAAAACAUGAUUCUAACUUCUAGUUAUAUUCAAAAGUCAGAACUUACAGCCAACUUGCAAACAAAAGCUGUUCUGUUCCAUUCACUAUGCAAUUGCUUCCUUUCAGAAUCUUCCAUACCGGAUUUAACGGAGUCUGUAACCAAAAACCAACCAAAAUGUUUUGUCUCAAUGGUCACGAGACGAAUAAAAUGAAGAUUAGCCUCAGAUAAUUAUUUUGGAGGCAGUGAUAGAGUCCAUAUUCUGCGAGUGGUAUAAGAGAGGGAAUCAAACAAAAGAGUGACCAAAUCAUAUAUGCUGUCUAACUUCUGUCUCAUGUCUGAUUCCCGAUUAAUUAUACAUAUGAGCUGAGUAAAGUUGGUCCGGAUGAUGAUACCAAAGAGACCCCUAGGCCAAGAAAGAACAGUAUGAGACAUGCAAUUCAGGAGAAAAUCACUUGCUAAGGAUCAAAUAGUGUCUCUAAUAAGAAACUGGAAGACAGAAAACAAGAACUGUCCUAUAACAUCUCUCAUGUUCUUUAAAAAUAUGCGUAUGCUAAAGAAAACAAAAGCGUUCUCUUUGCAAAAUGAUCUCCACAAUUUGGAAACUAAGAACUCCAUUUUUUUUUUGAAAUAAUGUUAAAUUCCUUAACAAAAAAUUCAUAUGGUGGAGUCAUGGAAAUUGAAAAACUUAUCAAGUUAAUCAUCACUUUUGAGUCAGAAUAAGACGAGUGAUCAGGUUUCAUACCAUCAAUCUUGAUACCAAGACCAGACAAGUCAAUAUCUUUAGACCGGAUCGGGGAUGGGUAUAUCGACCGGUUUGUUAUCGUUGUCUUUUAAAAACUAUAGCUCACCUCGGCCCAGCCCAAACUUGACUUUCUUUUCUUUCGCCAAAAUGCAAUUUAACGAUAUGGGUCUUAGUAUAUUUUGUGUGUGUUAGGUUGUUAUGGUGAAUCACGAUUAAGUAACUAGCUGGCAGAACUUGGCAAAACCUAUUAAAAAUCACAAAAAUUGUCUUUGGGUCACGCUCCGACGCUUGAAACUUUUUGAGCCUACGUGACCCAGUCUAACACUCUUGGAGACCUGAUAAAUUAUUUUCUCUCAAAUUUCAAUCACAGCAGUUGUUUAACAACUAAUAUAUUUUCCAGCAAAUCCGGACGACAUUCUCUUGGGUAAUUGUGUUAACGCAAGUGGCAGGUUUUGCAUAUAGAAAUGUGUACACAUAUAACACAUUCUUUAUAGCUUUGUGGCAGUGUAAACUCGAAAUAAGAUUUUGAUCCAAAAGAAAGUCGAAAUUAUACAAUUGCUUUUUGAGUUGUGUGAAAACCUGUGACACUGUGUCCUACAUGUUUCUUGACUUUCUUACCUCGAAUAUAUAACAAUAGGAAAUACAUCUGUCAAAUAAGAAAAAGUAAAAGUGACAUAGAGAGAUUCUUUUCCACCUCGAUCUUCGUUCUUGGUUCUGGACCAAAGUGAAUCCAACAUAUAAAAAAAGUGAUUUAUAAAUAAAGUCAAACAUUGAUACUUUGAUUGGAAGUGAUAGUUACAAAAGCACUCUCCAAAAGGCUGGUGGGAAUCUACUGAGUGAACAACCCAUACACCUAAUUUACCCUCACUUACCUCAAAAUUUAGACCAUAC
rnacentral:lncRNA from 1 species